GAUGAACGCUGGCGGCGUGCCUAAUACAUGCAAGUCGAGCGAACAGACGCGGAGCUUGCUCCUCUGACGUUAGCGGCGGACGGGUGAGUAACACGUGGAUAACCUACCUAUAAGACUGGGAUAACUUCGGGAAACCGGAGCUAAUACCGGAUAAUAUAUUGAACCGCAUGGUUCAAUAGUGAAAGACGGUUUUGCUGUCACUUAUAGAUGUAUCCGCGCCGCAUUAGCUAGUUGGUAAGGUAACGGCUUACCAAGGCAACGAUGCGUAGCCGACCUGAGAGGGUGAUCGGCCACACCGGAACUGAGACACGGUCCAGACUACUACGGGAGGCAGCAGUAGGGAAUCGUCCGCAAUGGGCGAAAGCCUGACGGAGCCACGCCGCGUGAGUGAUGAAGGUCUUCGGAUCGUAAAACUCUGUUAUUAGGGAAGAACAAAUGUGUAAGUAACUAUGCACGUCUUGACGGUACCUAAUCAGAAAGCCACGGCUAACUACGUG
rnacentral:rRNA from 1 species